UACGGGAGGCAGCAGUGGGGAAUAUUGCACAAUGGGCGAAAGCCUGAUGCAGCUAUGCCGCGUGUAUGAAGAAGGCCUUAGGGUUGUAAAGUACUUUCAUCGGGGAGGAAAAAACAAAACUAAUAAUUUUAUUUCUUGACGUUACCCGAAAAAGAAGCACCGGCUAACUCCGUGCCAGCAGCCGCGGUAAUACGGAGGGUGCUAGCGUUAAUCAGAAUUACUGGGCGUAAAGAGCACGUAGGUGGUUUUUUUAAGUCAGAUGUGAAAUCCCUGGGCUUAACCUAGGAACUGCAUUUUGAAACUGAAAUACUAGAGUAUCGUAGAGGGAGGUAGAAUUCUAGGUGUAGCGGUGAAAUGCGUAGAUAUCUGGAGGAAUACCUGUGGCGAAAGCGGCCUCCUAAACGAAUACUGACACUGAGGUGCGAAAAGCGUGGGGA
rnacentral:rRNA from 1 species